rnacentral:rRNA from 1 species
CUGGCGGCAUGCCUUACACAUGCAAGUCGAACGGCAGCACGGGAGCAAUCCUGGUGGCGAGUGGCGAACGGGUGAGUAAUAUAUCGGAACGUGCCCAGUCGUGGGGGAUAACGUAGCGAAAGCUACGCUAAUACCGCAUACGAUCUAUGGAUGAAAGCGGGGGAUCGCAAGACCUCGCGCGAUUGGAGCGGCCGAUAUCAGAUUAGGUAGUUGGUGAGGUAAAGGCUCACCAAGCCGACGAUCUGUAGCUGGUCUGAGAGGACGACCAGCCACACUGGGACUGAGACACGGCCCAGACUCCUACGGGAGGCAGUAGUGGGGAAUUUUGGACAAUGGGCGCAAGCCUGAUCCAGCAAUGCCGCGUGCAGGAUGAAGGCCUUCGGGUUGUAAACUGCUUUUGUACGGAACGAAACGGUGAGCUCUAAUACAGUUUGCUAAUGACGGUACCGUAAGAAUAAGCACCGGCUAACUACGUG